GGCUUUGGUGUGCCCUUGUUCUUCAUUUUUCGUUUUAUUAUGUGACUCUCUGUUUUGAAAUAAAAAAUCAUUCAAUGAUGAUAGGGUUUUGUGUUUUUGUUGAAAUCAUUGAUUUUCUCUGGCUUUGGCUUUCUGUUGUGGCUUCUGGCUUCUGGCUUCUGGUGUGCUGUUGUGUGUUUUGUGGCUCCACUGUGCUACUGCUGCUGCGUUGUGUUUUUGUUGAAAUCAUAAACAAUUAAUAGCAAAAUUUCCAAUGUACAAUAGAAAUCAUAAACGAUUUUCUAUUCUGUUUUUGUUGCUGUAACUUGAAUUUUAUUGCUGAAUUUGUUGCUUCCCAGUCACAUAAUCAGAACAGAAUGCUCAUUCAGUGCUUGGUUGAUUGGCUUUGCUUUCUGAUUGUAUUUGAUGAUAAAUUUUAAAUUGAUAGCUUUUAAAUUUUAAAUUUAAAAUUUGCACUGCCUAUGUUACUGAUUCACUCUUCCUUCAAUGCUUUUUAUUGUUGUUAAUAAUUGUGAUGAGCUUUGUUAAAAUUGGGUCGAAAACUGUUGAAUCUUUCUCCAUUUUUCAUUGUUCUUAACUUCUGUUCUUAUUAAAAAAUUUGCAAUAGGUGAUCUUUUGAUUUAUUAUAUGCUUCAUGUUUUUAAUUUCACUCUACUUCUACGCUUUGGAAUCAGUUUAUGAUAACUGUGAUUCAAUUAUUUAGUUGGAUAACUAAAGUAAUUAUUGAGUUCAAGAGAUUGAGUUUUUCUGUUCUCAUUAUUAGUAAGAUAUGGAUAGUUUUUUCACUACUUUCGCAUAUUUAUUUGUGGGUUUGCUGUGGGAUUUGGUGCUGUGUGGCAAUUAGCACUAGUCACUCUUGUUGUAGUUCCUUUGAUAGCUGUCAUUGGAGCCAUUCACACAACCACUUUGGCCAAGCUCUCUGCUAAAAGCCAAGCAGCUCUUUCUCUGCUAGAAACCAUUUUUGUUUAGUAUGUAGUUUACUUGCUUGUUAAAAAAUCUGGAACUGAAGUUAUGCAUAUUAAUUAAAGACCAUAUGAUAUGGCAUGGUAUGUUGUGUGACACUGAUUAAUUGAAGAAAUUUUGUGUAGGACAAGUUUUGCUAGAUAGGAAUGAUAAGAGUUUGAGGCUAAAAUGGUUGAGGCAGCAAAUAGGACUAGUGAGCCAAAAACUGGCUUUGUUUGCGACAACAAUUAGAGAAAACAUACUUUUAGAAAGAUCUGAUGCUGACCAAGUUGAGAUUGAAUAAGCUGCAAGAGUAGCCAAUGCUCAUUCUUUCAUUAUGAAACUUCUAGAGGGUUAUGAGACAUAGUUUAGCCAAUAUAGAGUUUCAAUUUCUAUUCCGAUUCAUUGGAAUCAGAAUUGUUUAAUUUUUUGUAUUAUUGAAAAUCUAGAUGAUGACUUGUAAUUCUAUGUUUAAUUUUAGUUUUAUUAGUAUAUUUUGAUAAGAUCAUAUGGCUUUGGUUGAUGACAUUUUUAGAUUUGGAAGAUAUUUUAAGACUUAUGUUAAACUAUAAUUAUAUUUUAAGAUGUUUAUUUAUAAUUUAUUUAUUAUUUUAUUUUGAAACGAUUUUUCUGGUUGAACCACGGUACCUUGGUGGAAACACGACGACGUAUUUCAGCGAAAGAUCACUGUUGCGUUUGAUUGUUGCAGUGUCAGUGAGGGAUCAUGGGAUUUCGAAGUUCACUGCCAUUUUUCGGGCUAAUAAGACAACUUGAACAAGAGAUGGAAACUGUGAUUAAAGUAUUGCAGCCUGGACCCUUAAAAAUCAUAGAGCAUAAGUUUUCUGCUGAGGAGAUUCGUAAGGCUAAUGAUACUGUCUCUAAGGCUGUGGCCAAUUGGCGAACCAAUGCGAAUUUGCAUCCCAAAAAUUAACUUUUGAAAGACUAUAUUCAGAAGUGAAACAACUUCAAAGAGCAGGCAUAUUUUGGCUCUUACAUGUGAGGACAGUUUUAUUUUAGAUCCUCUAAACAUUUUUUGAGUUUUGCAAAUUCCUUUCUUUACUUAUUUAUGAUGUUGUAUUAAACAUGUGAACUUUGGUACACAUAGCAUUAGUUAUUGAAUUAUGUUCACUAUUUCACUAUAAUGAAGAUCUUUAGUGAA